UACAGAGGGGGCAAGCGUUAUUCGGAAUUAUUGGGCGUAAAGGGCGCGUAGGCGGCAUCGCAAGUGGAAGGUGAAAUCCCUCGGCUUAACCGAGGAACUGCCCUCCAAACUGCGUUGCUUGAGGCCGGGAGAGGUGAGUGGAAUUCCCAGUGUAGCGGUGAAAUGCGCAGAUAUCAGGAGGAACACCGAUGGCGAAGGCAGGUCUCUGGGCAUUAACUGACGCUGAGGAGCGAAAGCAUGGGGAGCGAACAGG
rnacentral:rRNA from 1 species